rnacentral:tRNA from 1 species
CAAAACAUAGCUUAAACAAAGCAUCUCACUUACACCGAAAAGAAUAGCUGUUAAAAUCAGCUUGUUUUGA